rnacentral:rRNA from 1 species
AGAGUUUGAUCCUGGCUCAGGACGAACGCUGGCGGGAUGCUUAAUACAUGCAAGUCGAACGAGGCCUUCGGGUCUAGUGGCGGACGGGUGAGUAACGCGUAGAUAACCUACCUUUUACUGGGGGAUAACAUCUGGAAACGGGUGCUAAUACCGCAUAAGUACAUGGCUGAGAUGUUGUGUAUAAAAGAUUUAUUGGUAAGAGAUGGGUCUGCGUUGGAUUAGCUAGUUGGUGGGGUAAAGGCUUACCAAGGCGAUGAUCCAUAGUUGGUCUGAGAGGAUGACCAGCCACAGUGGGACUGAGACACGGCCCACACUCCUACGGGAGGCAGCAGUAGGGAAUAUUGCGCAAUGGGCGAAAGCCUGACGCAGCAAUCCCGCGUGGUGGAUGAAGGAUUUCGGUCUGUAAACACCUGUCGGUGGGGAAGAUAAUGACGGUACCCACAGAGGAAGCACCGGCUAACUACGUGCCAGCAGCCGCGGUAAUACGUAGGGUGCGAGCGUUGUCCGGAAUUAUUGGGCGUAAAGCGUCCGUAGGCGGUUAGAUAAGUUUGGCGUUAAAGGCGCGGGCUCAACCCGUGUAGUGCGUUGAAAACUGUCUGACUAGAGUAUAGUAGGGGAAGCUGGGAUUCUUGGUGUAGCGGUGAAAUGCGUAGAUAUCAAGAGGAACACCCGUAGCGAAAGCGGGCUUCUGGGCUAUUACUGACGCUAAUGGACGAAAGCCAAGGUAGCGAAAGGGAUUAGAUACCCCUGUAGUCUUGGCCGUAAACGAUGAGUAUUAGGUGUUGGGGGAAUCGACCCCUUCAGUGCCGUAGCUAACGCGUUAAAUACUCCGCCUGGGGAGUACGGCCGCAAGGUUGAAACUCAAAGGAAUUGACGGGGACCCGCACAAGCGGUGGAACAUGUGGUUUAAUUCGAUGCAACGCGAAGAACCUUACCUGGGCUUGACAUCCUUAGAAUCUUGACGAAAGUUGAGAGUGCCCGCAAGGGAGCUAAGAGACAGGUGGUGCACGGUUGUCGUCAGCUCGUGUCGUGAGAUGUUGGGUUAAGUCCCGCAACGAGCGCAACCCACGUGGUUAGUUGUUACAGGUCGUAGGAUGCUGAACCCUCUAGCCAGACUGCCGGUGACAAGCCGGAGGAAGGUGUGGAUGACGUCAAAUCAUCAUGCCCCUUAUGUCCAGGGCUACACACGUGUUACAAUGGGAUGGGACAAUAAGAUGCUUGACUGCGAAGUUUGGCUAAUCUCUAAACCCACCCUCAGUUCGGAUCGUAGUCUGCAACUCGACUACGUGAAGCUGGAAUCGCUAGUAAGUGCAGAUCAGCACGCUGCAUUGAAUACGUUCCCGGGUCUUGUACACACCGCCCGUCACACCACGAAAGAGGGUCAUGCCCGAAGUUACUGAGCUAACCGUUUACGGAGGCAGGUACCUAAGGUAGGGC